GGGAGCAGCGUCCACCGACCACGAUCUUCUGGAGAAUGGUUCGNGUGGUAGCAUGCCUGAUGGGACCCNNAAGAUGGUGAACUAUGCCUGAGCAGGGUGRRGCCAGAGGAAACUCUGGUGGAGGCCCGUCGCGAUACUGACGUGCRAAUCGUUCGUCUGACUUGGGUAUAGGGGCGAAAGACUAAUCGAACCACGAACCGGGACGUGGCGGCGGAUGGCGACGUCAGGAAAUCCGGAGACGCCGGCGAGGGCCCUGGGAAGAGUUAUCUUUUCUUCUUAACAGCCCGCCCACCCUGAAAUCGGAUCAACCGGAGAUAGGGUCUAGCGGCUGGAAGANUACCGCACGUCCAGCGGUGUCCGGUGCCCUCGGCGGCCCUUGAAAAUCCGGAGGACGGAAAAGGAUUGGCUCUGGGGGUUGGGCCUAGGGGUCUNGCGCCCCGAAGCCAGCGGCUGCUGUGGGCGUGCCCGAGCCGCUCCGCGUGCCGGUCNGGCGAAGGSUUGGGGNNCNUUCCCUUGGCGAGGAACNACCGUCUCNGAMCUGGCUCGGACNAGGNNNNUCCGMCUGUUUNAUU
rnacentral:rRNA from 1 species